AUUGAACGCUGGCGGCAGGCCUAACACAUGCAAGUCGAACGGUGACAGGAAGCAGCUUGCUGCUUCGCUGACGAGUGGCGGACGGGUGAGUAAUGUCUGGGAAACUGCCUGAUGGAGGGGGAUAACUACUGGAAACGGUAGCUAAUACCGCAUAACGUCGCAAGACCAAAGAGGGGGACCUUAGGGCCUCUUGCCAUCGGAUGUGCCCAGAUGGGAUUAGCUAGUAGGUGGGGUAACGGCUCACCUAGGCGACGAUCCCUAGCUGGUCUGAGAGGAUGACCAGCCACACUGGAACUGAGACACGGUCCAGACUCCUACGGGAGGCAGCAGUGGGGAAUAUUGCACAAUGGGCGCAAGCCUGAUGCAGCCAUGCCGCGUGUAUGAAGAAGGCCUUCGGGUUGUAAAGUACUUUCAGCGGGGAGGAAGGGAGUAAAGUUAAUACCUUUGCUCAUUGACGUUACCCGCAGAAGAAGCACCGGCUAACUCCGU
rnacentral:rRNA from 1 species